rnacentral:lncRNA from 1 species
GCCGCACUAGGCUGCGGUGCGUUCUGUGUACUGCAUGCGUUCCAUCCUUUCAACUCCUGCGUUGUUUACUGUGCGGUGGUACAAACGGAAGUACACACACAGACUCCAACUAGCUAGCUUUUAGCUAGUUGAAGAGCGAAGCACAUGUGCGUCAAGUACAGAAAAUACAGGCAAGACAUCCAGUAAAAUAAAAAGCAUAUGCAUGUGGUGGACAUCAGGCAUUAAUCACGUUUAAGAGUGUUGGCUCAACAAGACAAUUCUGUUUACACUGCCCUGCUUAGAGGGGUGCAACUGUCAGGCAAGUGUUGUGCACUACCCGCAGAGGUAGCGGUCGAAACGUGACAAGUUUGCAUGUUUACAUUGUGUUAUAUGUGUGUAGCCGCGGGUAUUUUUGCGAAAAGCCUAGUAAGUGUUAAGACCCUCAAAAGUCCUCGGCGCAGCCCAAGAGGAAUCCUAUUCAGUACAGUGGGAGGAAGAUCUAAAUCAUCAGGCUCCAUAGUGAGGUUAUGCUGGGUUCAUAGAAGACUGGAGCUGAAGAGAGGGUCAGCUGUGUGUGACCUCACCACAGGCUGUCUCUCCUCCGACAGACUGCGCUGUGAGAGAGCCAAGCCAUUAGACACUCCCAGUGCUGAUAAUGAAGGCACAGAGGUGGUCCAAAGCAGCGUGAUGCGGUGGAGGAGAGAAGAGCAGGAGUGGAGAAGGAAGGUAGAUUAGGAUAAUUACCUGGCGUCGGUGGUAAAGAGAGAGAGAGAGAGAAAGAUGUCUUACUUCCAGCCGUCUCCAUUUGCAAAAUGAGUAUUACCACAAUAGUGCCAAUUGCAGAAUUGAGGAUUCAUGGUUUAUGGGGCGGAAAAAGAGAAAUUGUAACAUCAAAUGAGACAUUUUUAUUCCCAGUGAAUGUCAAUAUAAUGUGCUGUGUGAUCUGAUAAUAGGAACAACAUUAGUAAAAUGUUUCCCAAAUGUUGUUGUUGUUGUUGUUUGCAGUGAGUAUUGAUCAUGUGGUAUGUAAGUCGGCCUAUGCAUCACCAGCAUGUACAUAUCUGUUGUUUAUACAGCCUUGGCGCGGGUCUCCUACACCAAUAAGCACUAAAUAUCCUCAGUCACUACGGCUUUGAAGAGCCUAUGAGGUCAGGUUUUAAAUUAUGGUCUGCACCCAUACCACGCUUUCUCCACAAAUCCAUUCGCCACACAAUGCAUUUCAAAUGAAAGCAGCGUCACCAUAACACGCCUUAGGAGACAUUAAGCUAUAGUAUGUUACUUUCAUGUAUGAUAGCAUGGCCCCUGUACGCUUUGAUGUGCUCACUUUUUAAUGCUUUAUUAAUAAUAAUAACACACUGGCUACUACUGACACCGUGCAUUGGCUGCUCUUCCCUCCCACACACUUUCUUUCCAUCCAUCCCUCCAUCCUCCUUCCAUCCCUCCCUGGGUCUUGUUGUCUUUGGGUCAGACUGCUGGUGUGCUUGUGAUUAGAGAGAAUGAUACGGACCCGGAGAUGAAGAGGGCCAGGAGAACCUAUCAGAGAGCACUGGGUGAGCACUGCUCUCCUAUUGGCUGCUGUUGGAAUCAGACACAUCUUAAUUUCUUCUUCCAUCCAGCCUGCUUUCACAUCCAAGCCCCAGGGAAGUGGGAGGAUUAUAGUCCCUGUCUUUUGGGUGUGUGUUUGUGUGUGUGUGUGUGUGCGCACGUGAAUGUCUGUGUGUGUGUGUGUGUAGUAAACGUCUUAUAGACACAGAAGGUACAGAGUUUAGACACUGAUAACACUAACCCUCCUCCAAGCCUGGCCCAGAUACAGACACAGUGUUGGAAGUGCUGGCAGAUUUUGAGGUACUGUCUUCUUCCAGCAACUCCAGCAGGACAUCAGCUCAUUAUGAAUGAGAGACCAGCAACACUACUAUUUAAAUGUAUUAUUUAUUUAUCCUUUAUUUAACCAGAUAAGUUCAAUUGAGAUGUACAUCUCUUGGAUGUGUAAUGGUGCUCACAUUUGAACCGUUGACUUCUCACCGGCUUGCUCGCACUCCUAUUUUUCUCAGUCGUAUUUUGUACCACAGUCGAUUGAAAUGAAGAUUUAACACAUUCAUUUAGAUUUGACAGAGAUUCUUCCUCAUUCAUUGACUGGCUGAUCUUGUUACUACACCUCUGACAUUGGUGAGGCAUUCUGCUCAUUCUAUGUUUUCUGUUGUAACCUAGUUGUGUACCUAACACUGGUUGUCAGUCAUUCAACAUGGACUUUUUUUCACGGUGAUGUCACUUUGCUGUUUUUUUUUCACCCCAUUUCAAUCAAAAAACGUCUCCAGUCAAAUAAUCCAUGCAUCCCCUUACAAAAGAAACGUGGAAUUUGCAGUUUCACAUGUGAAAAUCGCUUUUUCACGUGUAAUGGCUGUUUUCACAUGUUGAGCUUAAACGUCACAUGUGAAACCACAUUUAGAGUUCACAUGUUAACACCUUCGUUUCACAUGUGAGGUGAAUAACAUGUUUUCCCCUCACAUGUCAAUUGCAUUUUCACAUCUGAAAACUAUCAUGUGGAAAUCACAUUUGCUGUUUCACAUGUAAAAACUCCACAUGUUCAUCUUACUUUCACAUGUGGAAUUGCAAGAUCACAUGUGAGGACGAAAUCAGUGGAGGCUCCUCAGAGGAGGAAGGGAAGGGCCAUCCUCCUCAGUGGAUUUUAGAAAAAAUGUAAGUAGUGAAACACAAAGUUAUCCUUUUUUUUUUAGAUAAAACUACACUAAAUAUAUUCCCUUCACCAAAUAAUUGAUUAAAACAUAAUUUUUUGCAAUGAAGGUGUAUGGGAGCCUCAACAACAGUCUGUAGGGUAGCACCAUGGUGUAACCAACACUGGAACUUUUCCAAGUCAAGGGCAGCUUUUGGUUUUCUAAAUGUAUUGCCACUGGGUUUCGCCGGUGUAACUGCUGAACUGCUUACUGACUGUACACUGUACUGCAUGAUUGUAGCUGGUUUACUAACGCGUUAGUUCUAUUAGCUAUGUUGAUUAUGACGUUAGAUAAUAUGUGACCUGGCCAAGAUAAAGCAAAGCAGUUCGACACAUACAACGACACAGAGUUACACAUGGAGUAAAACAAACAUACAGUCAAUAACACAGUAUAAACAAGUAUAUAUACGAUGUGAGCAAAUGAGGUGAGAUAAGGGAGGUAAAGGCAAAAAAAGGCCAUGGUGGCAAAGUAAAUACAAUAUAGCAAGUAAAACACUGGAAUGGUAGAUUUGCAAUGGAAGAAUGUGCAAAGUAGAAAUAAAAAUAAUGGGGUGCAAAGGAGCAAAAUAAAUAAAUAAAUUAAAUACAGUAGGGAACGAGGUAGUUGUUUGGGCUAAAUUAUAGGUGGGCUAUGUACAGGUGCAGUAAUCUGUGAGCUGCUCUGACAGUUGGUGUUUAAAGCUAGUGAGGGAGAUAAGUGUUUCCAGUUUCAGAGAUUUUUGUAGUUCGUUCCAGUCAUUGGCAGCAGAGAACUGGAAGGAGAGGCAGCCAAAGAAAGAAUUGGUUUUGGGGGUGACUAGAGAGAUAUACCUGCUGUAGCGUGUGCUACAGGUGGGAGAUGCUAUGGUGACCAGCGAGCUGAGAUAAGGGGGGACUUUACCUAGCAGGGUCUUGUAGAUGACAUGGAGCCAGUGGGUUUGGCGAUGAGUAUGAAGCGAGGGCCAGCCAACGAGAGCGUACAGGUCGCAAUGGUGGGUAGUAUAUGGGGCUUUGGUGACAAAACGGAUUGCACUGUGAUAGACUGCAUCCAAUUUGUUGAGUAGGGUAUUGGAGGCUAUUUUAUAAAUGACAUCGCCAAAGUCGAGGAUUGGUAGGAUAGUCAGUUUUACAAGGGUAUGUUUGGCAGCAUGAGUGAAGGAUGCUUUGUUGGCGAAAUAGAAGCCAAUUCUAGAUUUAACUUUGGAUUGGAGAUGUUUGA